AGGUAAAGACACUGUGCCCAAAGGGACCCACAGUGAGCAGCAGCAUCAGAAUGAAGGCAGGGGGUGAAGCAGCUGCAGUUCUCACUGGGCUUUAACUUAACCUCUCGUUAGGAGGCUGCCGGGAUGCUUCUUUCCAGAUCUCGGCGCCGGCGGAGCCGCGUGGGCGGAGGAGCAUGUCUGGAGUUGAUAAGGGCCUGGCUGCUCCAGCUACAGCAUGGGACUAAGUGGUAGAAAACGGAUGGAUGGAUGGUAUCUUCACCACCAAGACCAGCACACAGACAAAAAGAAGGUAAAGGACAGAAAUCUGACAGCGGACAUGUUGGAGUUUAUUCUGAAAGGCCGGGACAAACGAAGACGGAUGCGUUCGAGGGUGUCUGACAGAUGGACAGUAGCGACGCGGGGCUAAGCCCCGAGCACUCGUAAUUAAGUUGCACAAUUGUGCAGAUAAUGAUUCAGAUUGCCUUCAAGUCAAAACACUCCGUGACGCGUCGCAAUCAGCCAACGACUGAGGCUGGUGGAGAAAAACGUCCCCACGGUCACUGCUGGAGCACAGUGAAACUUUAUACCUCCACGCAUCACAGACCCGCUCUUCCAGUAGAUGUUGAUGUUGUAAAAACAGUCCACUAAAACUUAUGGAAAGCAGUGAAGAGGGUAAUAGAGGUUUU